GGUUAAGCGACUAAGCGUACACGGUGGAUGCCCUGGCAGUCAGAGGCGAUGAAGGACGUGCUAAUCUGCGAUAAGCGUCGGUAAGGUGAUAUGAACCGUUAUAACCGGCGAUUUCCGAAUGGGGAAACCCAGUGUGAUUCGUCACACUAUCAUUAACUGAAUCCAUAGGUUAAUGAGGCGAACCGGGGGAACUGAAACAUCUAAGUACCCCGAGGAAAAGAAAUCAACCGAGAUUCCCCCAGUAGCGGCGAGCGAACGGGGAGCAGCCCAGAGCCUGAAUCAGUGUGUGUGUUAGUGGAAGCGUCUGGAAAGGCGCGCGAUACAGGGUGACAGCCCCGUACACAAAAAUGCACAUGCUGUGAGCUCGAUGAGUAGGGCGGGACACGUGGUAUCCUGUCUGAAUAUGGGGGGACCAUCCUCCAAGGCUAAAUACUCCUGACUGACCGAUAGUGAACCAGUACCGUGAGGGAAAGGCGAAAAGAACCCCGGCGAGGGGAGUGAAAAAGAACCUGAAACCGUGUACGUACAAGCAGUGGGAGCACAGAGCAAUCUGUGUGACUGCGUACCUUUUGUAUAAUGGGUCAGCGACUUAUAUUCUGUAGCAAGGUUAACCGAAUAGGGGAGCCGAAGGGAAACCGAGUCUUAACUGGGCGUUAAGUUGCAGGGUAUAGACCCGAAACCCGGUGAUCUAGCCAUGGGCAGGUUGAAGGUUGGGUAACACUAACUGGAGGACCGAACCGACUAAUGUUGAAAAAUUAGCGGAUGACUUGUGGCUGGGGGUGAAAGGCCAAUCAAACCGGGAGAUAGCUGGUUCUCCCCGAAAGCUAUUUAGGUAGCGCCUCGUGAAUUCAUCUCCGGGGGUAGAGCACUGUUUCGGCAAGGGGGUCAUCCCGACUUACCAACCCGAUGCAAACUGCGAAUACCGGAGAAUGUUAUCACGGGAGACACACGGCGGGUGCUAACGUCCGUCGUGAAGAGGGAAACAACCCAGACCGCCAGCUAAGGUCCCAAAGUCAUGGUUAAGUGGGAAACGAUGUGGGAAGGCCCAGACAGCCAGGAUGUUGGCUUAGAAGCAGCCAUCAUUUAAAGAAAGCGUAAUAGCUCACUGGUCGAGUCGGCCUGCGCGGAAGAUGUAACGGGGCUAAACCAUGCACCGAAGCUGCGGCAGCGACGCUUAUGCGUUGUUGGGUAGGGGAGCGUUCUGUAAGCCUGCGAAGGUGUGCUGUGAGGCAUGCUGGAGGUAUCAGAAGUGCGAAUGCUGACAUAAGUAACGAUAAAGCGGGUGAAAAGCCCGCUCGCCGGAAGACCAAGGGUUCCUGUCCAACGUUAAUCGGGGCAGGGUGAGUCGACCCCUAAGGCGAGGCCGAAAGGCGUAGUCGAUGGGAAACAGGUUAAUAUUCCUGUACUUGGUGUUACUGCGAAGGGGGGACGGAGAAGGCUAUGUUGGCCGGGCGACGGUUGUCCCGGUUUAAGCGUGUAGGCUGGUUUUCCAGGCAAAUCCGGAAAAUCAAGGCUGAGGCGUGAUGACGAGGCACUACGGUGCUGAAGCAACAAAUGCCCUGCUUCCAGGAAAAGCCUCUAAGCAUCAGGUAACAUCAAAUCGUACCCCAAACCGACACAGGUGGUCAGGUAGAGAAUACCAAGGCGCUUGAGAGAACUCGGGUGAAGGAACUAGGCAAAAUGGUGCCGUAACUUCGGGAGAAGGCACGCUGAUAUGUAGGUGAAGUCCCUCGCGGAUGGAGCUGAAAUCAGUCGAAGAUACCAGCUGGCUGCAACUGUUUAUUAAAAACACAGCACUGUGCAAACACGAAAGUGGACGUAUACGGUGUGACGCCUGCCCGGUGCCGGAAGGUUAAUUGAUGGGGUUAGCGCAAGCGAAGCUCUUGAUCGAAGCCCCGGUAAACGGCGGCCGUAACUAUAACGGUCCUAAGGUAGCGAAAUUCCUUGUCGGGUAAGUUCCGACCUGCACGAAUGGCGUAAUGAUGGCCAGGCUGUCUCCACCCGAGACUCAGUGAAAUUGAACUCGCUGUGAAGAUGCAGUGUACCCGCGGCAAGACGGAAAGACCCCGUGAACCUUUACUAUAGCUUGACACUGAACAUUGAGCCUUGAUGUGUAGGAUAGGUGGGAGGCUUUGAAGUGUGGACGCCAGUCUGCAUGGAGCCGACCUUGAAAUACCACCCUUUAAUGUUUGAUGUUCUAACGUUGACCCGUAAUCCGGGUUGCGGACAGUGUCUGGUGGGUAGUUUGACUGGGGCGGUCUCCUCCUAAAGAGUAACGGAGGAGCACGAAGGUUGGCUAAUCCUGGUCGGACAUCAGGAGGUUAGUGCAAUGGCAUAAGCCAGCUUGACUGCGAGCGUGACGGCGCGAGCAGGUGCGAAAGCAGGUCAUAGUGAUCCGGUGGUUCUGAAUGGAAGGGCCAUCGCUCAACGGAUAAAAGGUACUCCGGGGAUAACAGGCUGAUACCGCCCAAGAGUUCAUAUCGACGGCGGUGUUUGGCACCUCGAUGUCGGCUCAUCACAUCCUGGGGCUGAAGUAGGUCCCAAGGGUAUGGCUGUUCGCCAUUUAAAGUGGUACGCGAGCUGGGUUUAGAACGUCGUGAGACAGUUCGGUCCCUAUCUGCCGUGGGCGCUGGAGAACUGAGGGGGGCUGCUCCUAGUACGAGAGGACCGGAGUGGACGCAUCACUGGUGUUCGGGUUGUCAUGCCAAUGGCACUGCCCGGUAGCUAAAUGCGGAAGAGAUAAGUGCUGAAAGCAUCUAAGCACGAAACUUGCCCCGAGAUGAGUUCUCCCUGACUCCUUGAGAGUCCUGAAGGAACGUUGAAGACGACGACGUUGAUAGGCCGGGUGUGUAAGCGCAGCGAUGCGUUGAGCUAACCGGUACUAAUGAACCGUGAGGCUUAACCUU
rnacentral:rRNA from 1 species